rnacentral:rRNA from 3 species
GAUGAAGAACGCAGCGAAAUGCGAUACGCAAUGCGAAUUGCAGAACCGCGAGUCAUCAGAUCUUUGAACGCAAGUGGCGGUAGCUAUGGCUACCAUGUUUGCUUCAGUGU